GGAAGAUGUAGUGUCCCUGGGGUUUAGCUGUGCGAGUGACUGCAGCAUUUGUGGCUGGUCGACAUGUCUGGAGAGUGUCGGGACGAGUUGAAGUCGUUUUGGUACGAAAUUGACGCGAAAAUUUAGCAACAUUUUUUAAAAGUGUCGGUAAUUUAGCUAGCAGUAUUUUUUUUUAUCUAUACCGACAUUUAAAAAUAUCGCUAUAGACCAUUUUUGUUGUAGUGCAAAUUUAAUAGUUUUAAUCAUCUUUAUCAAAUAAAUUUAAAACAAUUAGUAGUUAAUAACUAUUAAAGCCGCAACAUUUAAUAACCCUUUUACUGAACUAAAUAAAACAAC
rnacentral:lncRNA from 1 species